ensembl:lncRNA ERICH2-DT ERICH2 divergent transcript
AGUGAAUAGCCUCUGCUCUCCUGAUGUUCCUAAAUAUUUCCUGUCAACGUUCUGUAUUUCUUACUAGACUGCCAGCUCCGUGACAGCAAGAACCUUGUAUGACUUUUUCAUGAUGGAUGUUCAUCUGUGCCAUCUGUAAAUAUUGAAUAAAUAUUUGUGGAAUACAUGAAUCUAAAAGUGAAUGGAAUGAUAAAGAGGGAAAGGGUCAUGACAUCUACUACAGCAUUUGGCACAGACCCAGGUUUCCCUGGUACUGGUAAUUCCCAGCAGCUUUCUACAAUUCCAAAGGUCAGAAAUAAACUGCCAAAAAAUUUUUACUAAAUCAUGUUCUGGUCUGGGAUACAGCCCUGAAAUGCACUUUGAGCAAGAAAGACUUUGUAGAGGAGAAAAAAGGUGGACCAAUGAGGAUUGGGCUAGAACCAGAGGAAAGUGAACAUUCUUGGUUUAGAUAAAUAUCCACAACCUUCUAAGGUUUUCAUGUGUACUACAGAGAAGCUCCAGGCUCCUACAUUUCCCUGUGGGUAGUUUUAAAAAGCUACUGUAGCAAAACAGAGGCUGGUGGUGACUACGCUUAUCUUUUAGAAGAGCCAUCAU